GCAGCUAACGCAUUAAGUUAUCCGCCUGGGGAGUACGUUCGCAAGAUUAAAACUCAAAGGAAUUGACGGGGGCCUGCACAAGCGGUGGAGCAUGUGGUUUAAUUGGAAGCAACGCGCAGAACCUUACCAGCCUUUGACAUCCUGGUCGCGGAUUAGAGAGAUCUUUUCCUUCAGUUCGGCUGGACCAGUGACAGGUGCUGCAUGGCUGUCGUCAGCUCGUGUCGUGAGAUGUUGGGUUAAGUCCCGCAACGAGCGCAACCUUCGUCCUUAGUUGCCAUCAUUUAGUUGGGCACUCUAAGGAAACCGCCGGUGAUAAGCCGGAGGAAGGUGGGGAUGACGUCAAGUCCUCAUGGCCCUUACAGGCUGGGCUACACACGUGCUACAAUGGCGGUGACAGUGGGCAGCCACUACGCGAGUAGGAGCUAAUCCCAAAAAGCCGUCUCAGUUCGGAUUGUUCUCUGCAACUCGAGAGCAUGAAGGCGGAAUCGCUAGUAAUCGCGGAUCAGCAUGCCGCGGUGAAUACGUUCCCAG
rnacentral:rRNA from 1 species